AAGCAAACGCGGAACACGCACAUGCACACAGUCCGCGUUGCCGGACUUCGUGAUCCGAGAGAGUGCAAUAUGGACGCGUUGAUUUGAGGAGGUUUAAAAUAGUGAAUUAUCAACGAACUGUGUCCUCAAAGUGUUUCAGAAGACCAUUCAAGGGUGGAAUCAAACAGCAUCGACAGCCGCAACAUCAUGCAACAGUGAACAGUGCAGGAAGGAUGUUCACCUACAGCCAAGAUUUCAUCGUAUACGUGUUUUGAAGUUUUUUUGUUCUUUUAAAGUGAUAAAUGUGAUUAAUUUACUAAUUUAUAGUAGUUAAAAAUAAUAAAAAAGUGAAUUAACAAUAGUUGUUAAUAUUGUGAAAAAAUAUUGUGAAAUAAAAAGAAAUAUUUUAAGUGUAAA